rnacentral:rRNA from 1 species
AUUGAACGCUAGCGGGAUGCUUUACACAUGCAAGUCGAACGAGUGGCGGACGGGUGAGUAAUAUAUCGGAACGUGCCCAGUAGCGGGGGAUAACUACUCGAAAGAGUGGCUAAUACCGCAUACUAUGGGAGCGGCCGAUAUCGGAUUAGCUAGUUGGUGGGGUAAAGGCUCACCAAGGCGACGAUCCGUAGCUGGUUUGAGAGGACGACCAGCCACACUGGGACUGAGACACGGCCCAGGCUCCUACGGGGGGCAGCAGUUGGGAAUUUUGGACAAUGGGGGAAGCCCUGAUGCAGCGGCGCCGCGUGGGGGAGAAGGCUUUCGGGUUGUAAACCUCUUUCGCUAUCGAACGGUUAGGUGGAGAAGAAGCGCCGGCUAACUACGUGCCAGCAGCCGCGGUAAUUC